rnacentral:sRNA from 1 species
GCUAGGCGCAGUGGCACACGCCUGUAAUCCAGUGUCAGGAAGCUGAGGCAGGAGGAGUACAAGUUUGAGGCCAGCCUCAGCAACUUAGUGAGGCCCUAAACAACUUAGCAAGACCCUGUCUCAA